AUUCCCUCCUCUUCCUCUGUGGUGAAUAUCUGAGCUCACUUGGUACAGUGAUGGGUACUUGGAUAAACUGCUUGAAGAGUGUGUGUGCAAGGGUGAAAUGGGAGAUACUGCCUGUACCCCCAAAAGGCCAGCUAGAUGAAGUGUUUCAUGGAGGAGGGUUUGCUCUGGGGCAGAAUGCUGCAAAUCCCAGAGUUCUGCAUCGAGGCUGAGGUGGAACCGAAUUAGAGGCUGCUCCCUGGAGGGCAGCCAGACAAGAGUUACAUGAAGAUUAACAGAGACAAAGAGUGCAACACUGAGUUCCAAUCGAAGACAUCAAGCUACAGAUGGUCUUACAAAUGGAACCCCAAAUGAGUUCAACUAACAACUUCUACCGAGGACCCCUGGACUGACCCGCUGGCACUUUCACUGGCCUAGAGAGCUCCCCUCUGGAGGACACUACAACUGCAGGGCCCCUUCAUUGCCCCUAUGCAGCAGGAAGUAGCUAGAGCGGUCAUCGGCCAAAUUCCCAACAGCAGUUGGGGUGUCCUGUUUAGAGGGGGGAUUGAGAGGUGACAGUGUGCUGGCAGCCCUCGCUCACUCUUGGUGCCUCCUCAGCCUUGGCGCCCACUCUGGCCAUGCUUGAGGAGCCCUUCAGCCUGCUGCUGCACUGCAGGAGCCCCUCUCUGGGCUGGCCGAGGCCAGAGCCAGCUCCCUCUGCUUGCAGGGAGGUGUGGAGGGAGAGGCGCAGGUGGGAACCGGGGCUGAGGGCAGCGUUCGUGGGCCAGUGCAAGUUCCAGGUGGGUGUGGGCUCAGCAGGCCUCGCACUCAGAGCGGCUGGCCAGUGCUGCCAGCCCUGGGCAGUGAGGGGCCUAGCACCUGGGCCAGCAGCUGCAGAGGGUGCGCCAGGUCCCCCAGGAGUGCCAGCCUGAUGGCACUGUGCUCAAAUUCUUGCUGGGCCUCAGCUGCCUCCCCACAGGGCAGGGCUCGGGACCUGCUGCCCACCAUGCCUGAGCCUCCCCUCCCCACUGUGGGCUCUUGUGUGGCCCAAGCCUCCCCGACGAGCACCGCCCCCUGCUCUGUGGCGCCCGGUCCCAUUGACCAACCAAGGGCUAAGGGGUGCAGGUGCACGGUGUGGGACUUGCAGGCAGCUCUGCCUGUGGCCCUGGUGUGGGAUCCACUAGGUGAAGCCAGCUGGGCUCCUGAGUUUAGUGGGGACUUGGAGAACCUUUAUGUCUAGCUAAGGGAUUAUAAAUACACCAAUCAGCACUCUGUGUCUAGCUCAAGGUUUGUAAACACACCAAUCAGCACUCUGUAUCUAGCUAAUCUAGUGGGGACUUGGAGAACCUUUAUGUCUAGCUAAGGGAUUGUAAACACACCAAUCAGCACCCUGUGUCUAGCUCAAGGUUUGUAAAUGCACCAAUCAGUACUCUGUGUCUAGCUAAUCUAGUGGGGACUUAGAGAACCUUUAUGUCUAGCUAAGGGAUUGUAAAUACACCAAUGAGCACUCUGUGUCUAGCUCAAGGUUUGUAAAUGCACCAAUCAGCACUCUGUAUCUAGCUAAUCUAGUGGGGACUUGAAGAACCUUUAUGUCUAGCUAAAGGAUUGUAAAUACAUCAGUCAGCACUCUGUGUCUAGCUCAAGGUUUGUAAACACACCAAUCAGCACCCUGUGUCUAGCUCAAGGUUUGUAAAUGCACCAAUCAGUGCUCUGUGUCUAGCUAAUCUAGUGGGGAUUUGGAGAACUUUUGUGUCUAGCUCAGGGAUUGUAAAUGCACCAAUCAGCACCCUGUCAAAAUGGACCAAUUGGCUCUCUGUAAAACAGACCAAUCGACUCUCUGUAAAAUGGACGAAUCAGCAGGAUGUGGGUGAGGCCAGAUAAGGCAAUAAAAACAGGCUGCCAGAGCCAGCAGUGGCAAUCCACUCGGGUCCUCUUCCACACUGUGGAAGCUUUGUUGUUUCACUCUUUGCAAUAAAUCUUGCUGCUGCUUACUCUUUGAGUCUGCACUGCCUUUAUGAGCUGUAACACUCACCACGAAGGUCUGUGGCUUCACUCCUGAGGCCAGCGAGACCACGAACCCACCGGGAGGAAUGAACAACCCCAGAUGGGAGGAGCGAAUAACCCCAGACAUGGCACCUUAAAAGCCGUAACACUCACUGCAAAGAUCUACAGCUUCACUCCUGAAGCCAGCGAGAACAUGAAUCCACCAGAAGGAAGAAACUCUGAACACGUCUGAACAUCAGAAGGAAAAAACUCCAGACACACCACCUUUAAGAAUGGUAACACUCACUACAAGGGUCCACAGCUUCACUCUUGAAGUGAGUGAGACCAAGAACCCACCAAUUCCGGACACAGUACUUUUUUUUUUUUUUUUUUUGAGAUAGAGUCUCACUCUGUCGCCCAGGCUGGAGUGCAGUGGCGCCAUCUCAGCUCACUGCAGCCUCCACCUCCCAGGUUCCAGCGAUUCUCCUGCCUCAGCCUCCCGGGUACCUGAGAUUACAGGCACAUGCCACCAUGCCUGGCUAAUUUUUUGUAUUUUUAGUAGAGACAGGGUUUCACCAUGUUGGCCAGGAUGGUCUCGAACUCCUGACUUCAGAUGACCUGCCCGCCUUGGCCUCUCAAAGUGCUAGGAUUACAGGCAUGAGGCACUGCACCUAGCCCAGAUUUUUGUAUUAUAGAUUUGGUUACUGUUCAGGGCCUAUUUGAAUAGCCUUCCACCACAAUUUGCCUUUACCUUCAAAGGGACACAGUAUACCUGUUAUAGGCUCAAUUUUGCCUCUCCAAAACUCAUAUGCUGAAAUCUCAACCCUCAGUAAGUGGCAUGUGUCUGUAUUUAGAAAUAGGGCUUUUAAAGAGGUAAUUAAGGUAAAAUGAUGUCACAUGGGUGGGCUGAGAUCCAAUAUGAUUGGUGUUCUCAUAAGAAGAGUUUAGGACGCAGACAACACACAGGUGGAGGAUGAGAGCUAAAGAGAGAGGCCUCAGAAGAAACCGAACCUGCUGACACCUUGAUCUUGCACUUCUAGCCUCAAAGACACUCAAGAAUAAUAUUUAUAUACAUCGUCUCUAUGAGACAAAAUGUUCCCAGAAUUCUUUACCCAAAAAGUUCCAACCUUGUACAAGGAAUUGUUUCUGCCAACAGUGAUCAGUCCAGGCAGCCAGGCCACUGAAUGGCACAAGAAUCUAUAAAAAUGUGCAGAUAGAGAUGGAUAUUGCAUAAUGACUGUCUUAGUCUGUUCAUGCUGCCCUAACAAAAUACCUUAGACUGGGUAAUUGAUAAAGAACAGAAAUUUAUUUCUUACAGUUCUAGAGGCUGGGAAGUCUAAGAUCAAGGUACAAGCAUUGGUGUCUGAUGAGGGCUUCUCUCUGUUUCCAAGAUGGCACCCUGUUGCUGUAUCCUCCAGAGGGGAGGAACACUGUGUCCUCAUGUGGAGGAGGAGCAGAAAAGCAAGAGAGCACUCCUUUCAACCUCAAACCCUUUUAUAAGUGUGCUAAUACCAUUCAUGAGAGCAAAGCCCUCAUGACUUAAUCACCUCCCAAAGGCUACAUCUCUUAAUACUGUUGCAGUCGGGAUUACACUUCAACAUGAAUUUUGGAGAAGACAGAAACACUCAAACCAUAGUAAUGAGUGACCAAGGCACUCAUUUCACUUCUCAGCCUACACAGUGUUGGACUUUCAAAUAAUGCUUCCAAUGGAACUUUCACCUCCCUUACUGGCUUCAGGCUACAGGCUUUACAGGGUACCAUAAUGGCUUAUUUAAGUAUGAAAUCCGUUAAAUUAAACAUGGUGCAUUUCAGUCAUCAGUCAUAUAUCAGGAUUUAAUUGUAAUAAAGAAUGUGACUCCAUUUAUUUUUAACAUUUUGCUGCUGACAACUUUUAAGCCUCACCCUCCCUUUUCCCCUUCUGCCACAUAUCUGAGCAAGCUGAAUAAGAAAGCUCAAGUUUUUCUUCCCUUGGCACCUAUGGAAAGUUUAAAACCUCACAUAGGAACCCUGACCCAGCCCCACCACUAAUCACCAUGAAAACCUCAAGCCAGUUUCCUUUUCUGGCCCUCGCAAGCCAUUUUUGGAACACUUGGGAGUGCCUCCCUGCUUUCCCCAGCAAAUCUUGUUUUUUUUUUUUUGUUUUUUUUUUUUUUUUUGAGACGGAGUCUCGCUGUUGCCCACGCUGGAGUGCAGUGGCGCAAUCUCGGCUCACUGCAGGCUCCACCCCCCAGGGUUCUCACCAUUCUCCUGCCUCAGCCUCCCAAG
rnacentral:lncRNA from 10 species